AGUGAACGCUGGCGGUAGGCCUAACACAUGCAAGUCGAACGGCAGCACAGUAAGAGCUUGCUCUUACGGGUGGCGAGUGGCGGACGGGUGAGGAAUACAUCGGAAUCUACUUUUUCGUGGGGGAUAACGUAGGGAAACUUACGCUAAUACCGCAUACGACCUACGGGUGAAAGCAGGGGAUCUUCGGACCUUGCGCGAUUGAAUGAGCCGAUGUCGGAUUAGCUAGUUGGCGGGGUAAAGGCCCACCAAGGCGACGAUCCGUAGCUGGUCUGAGAGGAUGAUCAGCCACACUGGAACUGAGACACGGUCCAGACUCCUACGGGAGGCAGCAGUGGGGAAUAUUGGACAAGGGGCGCAAGCCUGAUCCAGCCAUACCGCGUGGGGGAAGAAGGCCUUCGGGUUGUAAAGCCCUUUUGUUGGGAAAGAAAAGCAGCAGGUUAAUACCCCGCUGUUCUGACGGUACCCAAAGAAUAAGCACCGGCUAACUUCG
rnacentral:rRNA from 1 species